rnacentral:tRNA from 1 species
CGGGGCGUAGCGCAGCCUGGUAGCGCGCUUGCUUCGGGAGCAAGAAGUCGCCGGUUCGAAUCCGGCCGCCCCGACCA